rnacentral:rRNA from 1 species
CCUAACACAUGCAAGUCGAACGAAGGCUUCGGCCUUAGUGGCGCACGGGUGCGUAACGCGUGGGAAUCUGCCCUCAGGUUCGGAAUAACAGCGAGAAAUUGCUGCUAAUACCGGAUGAUAUCGCGAGAUCAAAGAUUUAUCGCCUGAGGAUGAGCCCGCGUAGGAUUAGCUAGUUGGUGUGGUAAAGGCGCACCAAGGCGACGAUCCUUAGCUGGUCUGAGAGGAUGAUCAGCCACACUGGGACUGAGACACGGCCCAGACUCCUACGGGAGGCAGCAGUGGGGAAUAUUGGACAAUGGGCGAAAGCCUGAUCCAGCAAUGCCGCGUGAGUGAUGAAGGCCUUAGGGUUGUAAAGCUCUUUUACCCGGGAUGAUAAUGACAGUACCGGGAGAAUAAGCUCCGGCUAACUCCGUGCCAGCAGCCGCGGUAAUACGGAGGGAGCUAGCGUUAUUCGGAAUUACUGGGCGUAAAGCGCACGUAGGCGGCUUUGUAAGUUA